UGCCACCCAACUUCUAUUUCCAAUUGUUUC
rnacentral:piRNA from 1 species